AUAUCAGUCAUGCAUAGCAUAUCAAUAAGCGGAGGAAAAGAAACUAACAAGGAUUCCCUUAGUAACGGCGAGUGAAGCGGGAAGAGCUCAAAUUCGAAAUCUUCAAGGUUUUACCUUGACGAAUUGUAGUUUAAAGAAGUGUUUUCUGUUGAAGUUUUGGUAAAAGUUCUUUGGAAUAGGACAUCAUAGAGGGUGAGAAUCCCGUAUUUGACCAUUACUUUCAGCUUUGUGAUACACUUUCAAAGAGUCGGAUUGUUUGGGAAUGCAGUCCAAAAUGGGUGGUAAAUUUCAUCUAAAGCUAAAUAUUGGCGAGCGACCGAUAGCGAACAAGUACCGUGAGGGAAAGAUGAAAAGAACUUUGAAAAGAGAGUUAAACAGUAGCGUGAAAUUGUCAAAAGGGAAGCGUUUGACACCAGUGUUGUUUUCUCGAAAAUCAAUUAAAAAGAGUUGGAUUUUGUGUUGUAUUGACUUUAUCGGCUUUCUUCACUCUUUUCCAGCUUUUUUAAUGCACUUUUCGUUUAACAAGUCAACAUCAGUUUCUUUUGUUGUAAAAAGGUCAUUGGAAGGUGGCUUUCUCUUCGGAGAAAGUGUUUAUAGCCUUUGACUCAUGCAAUCGGAGAGACUGAGGUCUGCAGCGUAGAUCCUUCGGGGUUAGAUACAUUUGUGCUAAGUUAUAGCUUUUCAUAGACGACUUGUUGACUAUGUUUAGUCUUGUAGCUUACUCGCUUAUGCUAUUUUACCUACGCUUAGGAUGUUGAACUCUAUCACACACAG
rnacentral:rRNA from 1 species